GAUGAACGCUGGCGGCGCGCCUAACACAUGCAAGUCGAACGGCACCCACCUCCGGGUGGAAGCGAGUGGCGAACGGCUGAGUAACACGUGGAGAACCUCGCCCCCUCCCCGGGAUAGCCCGCCCGAAAGGACGGGUAAUACCGGAUACCCCGGGGCGCCGCAUGGGCCGCCCCCGGACUAAACGCCCCGGACGGGAGGGGAUGGCUCCGCGGCCCAUCAGGUAGACGGCGGGGUGACGGCCCACCGUGCCGACAACGGGUAGCCGGGUUGAGAGACCGACCGGCCAGAUUGGGACUGAGACACGGCCCAG
rnacentral:rRNA from 1 species